UUGCCUAGCAACAAGUAUCUGUGGCUUGGCGGAAAAGGGGACCUCUGUGGACCUGCGUCCGCAUUAGACUCUAGCCUGUCUUCUUUGAAGGAUCCACGUGAUAUUCUCACAAUCCUAGGAGAUGGCAGUGGAGAGAUAGCCUGUAGAAAUCUCAAGCGCAGCUUCAGAAAUACAGCACAAAAUCCCUAAGGAUGGACCCGCAGGAUGCCUCAGGCCUGCCCAGACCUGGGCUGGCCGAGACAGGCCGGGGUCCAAAUCACCUUCCCCUGCAGAAGAGCCACUCUUGAAGAAAGAAGAGGAGAACACCACACCCAAGGGCAGACACCUCCCAUGACUUCUUUGUCUUGGGACCAACCGGUCCUCUCAAACUCGCAACCAGACCCUCGCAAUCCUGUCUCAGGGCCGCUUGAAUCCAACUCGAAUUCGGUUUUGAGCUGAACAGGUGCUUCACGUCAUGAGGUGGGCACUCCUCCAUCGUCUUCGGAUUUCGUCCCGGGAAGGAGGGGUGAGCGCCGUAAGUUCAGAUUGGGACUGCUGUGCUGAGAAGCAGGAGCAUCUGUGAGGCCCAGAAUGAAGUGUGGCGGUGAGCUCAAGGGCCCGGCCAUCUUUCAGUGACACCCACCUCCAGUGUAUCAGGGAUGAUUUCAUCACCCCCAGACCCCUCAUCUUACCAGAUUGUAUUCCCAUCCCCAUGGGACCCAAUUCCGUCACAGCCUCUUUCGGCAAUGGAAACAGAAGAGCCGUUUCCAGUGCCCACCUUAAAUUCUAGAAACUUCUCCCCCUCCACUGGUGCCUGACCACGGAUAUGGCCCCAGGAGGCGCUAUGGUGGAGACUUAUAGGCUCUCACUGUGGUUGUCACAGACAGCCUUAUUCUCGAGACCAGGCUGGCUCUGCCUGUACUAUUGUUCUCUGCUUAGGCAGGCUCACAGCCCUGACAGUUCAGCUCCCGAGGCUGCCUCGCGAAUGCACAUGCGCCAGUCUCGGGACACCAUGCACAAGCCGUGAGCGAACGCUCGCUUCACAGUGAAUGCCACCAUUGCCUGGCUGCAAGUAUCUGUGGCUUGGUGGAGAGGAAGACCUCUGUGGACAUGCUUCUGCAUUGGAGUCUCACCUGUCUUCCUUUAAAGAUCCAAGUGAUAGUCCCACAAUCCUAGCAGAUGGCAGUGGAGAGUCAGCCAGAGGAAACCUCAAGUGGAGCUUCAGAAAUACACUGUGAAAUCCCUAAGUUCCAAAAGGAUCCGCAGGCUGAGUCAGGCCUGCCUACUCGGUGUGGGGUGUGUCUCCUUGACAGUUGCCUCACUGUAAUUUCUAGGUAAAGUCCGCCUGUGUUUUUCAGCACUGUGCUCUUGCCGGAUGGACUUUCUGGUGAAGCAGAACUGCGCAGCCUCAGAAGCUGCCGGGCUGUGUGUUUCUGUGAGAGUGCUGUGAGUUUUGGAUGUCUGCGUGUGUGUGUGUGGCUGUAUGUGUUUGUGUGUCUGUGUGUGUGUGUGUAUAAGUGUCAUCUGCUAAAAAAUAUUUGGCUCAUGCACCGCUGCUCUUUUUUUUCGAGUCACACCACCUUCUGGUGCACCUGUCGGUGUGUCUCCACUUGGGCUAUGGGGCUGCGUGUUUUUUGUUUUUCCGUGGUUCCUGGAUCUGCAGUGAAUUGCGGUCUAAGACCAACAGGGAUCCAAAUCACCUUCCCGUGCAAAGCAGCCACUCUUCAAUAAAGAACAGGAGCAUAUCACACCUGA